rnacentral:lncRNA from 1 species
GUGACAGACUGGAUUUUAACUAUCCAUACUUGAUUACACUACAAAAUUUCACUUUCGUUGCUAAAUGCAAUGCCACUCUAACGGAGAAGAAGUGAAAGUUAGGAGUGUUAAUGGUCGAAAUAUCAUUAUAGAUUAGUAUGCGCCAAUGGCCAUAGUUUGAAUUAUUAAAACCAAAUUGCUUUUUUGUUUCUCUUAACAAUAUCAUCAUUUCAACCAAAGGGUAGUCAUUCAGAUAUCUUGAAUCAACUUGAUCAUAAAGAAGGCUUAUUUCUUGAUCAAUUAAGUCAACCAUAAUUAGUCAACCAUCACACCAAGAUCAAAUGAUAAUAACUUUUUUUUUUUCUGGUUUCAUAAAAAAAACAUACCAAACCUUAUUUAUUGAUCAAUUUAGUCAACCAUCAUUCAAAUCCAAAACCAACAAUAAAAAGAUUUUGACUAUGACAAAUUUCAAAUCCACCGACUUUUAACCCCCAAAUCAAUUACUUGUUUCAAAUAAAUUGACACAAAUAAUUUUCAAGAAUCUAUGAAAAUUGCCCAAAAAUAGCUAAAAACUUACCUUUUCUCUAUACAUAUUUUUGAGCCUACCAGCUUCUUCAUCCAUAGGCUGGUCAAUCUUCUGCUCCAAAGCCCACAUACCCCCUUUUGACUCAUCUUCUCCAUAUGUAUCCCCUUCAAUAUCAGUCACCAUAACUCAACUUUAACCUACUAAAUCCACUUUACCCAAUCAAAUCAUAAAAACAACAUCAAGAACUUCAAAACCCAUCAAAAUUAACCCCAAAAAAACUUGCUUUUCAUCAUCAAACAAUCAAACCCACCUUAAAAAUCCAAUAAAUUAACACAAAAUCUCUUGCUUUGAUCCUCAAACACUCAAAGCAAAUCAAACCCACCAAAAAAAAAAACAAUUUUUAACACUUUCCCAAGUGGGGUCAGCAGCUUUCACUUCAAAACUGAACAAAUUCC